GCUGCAUGAUCAAGCUUACGUUCUCUUCUACAAACAGUUGUAACUUGUAAUGGUAAUUUCAAGUUGCAGUGAUUGGACAACAACGAAAAAGAGAUUAGGGAAUAUGUUCUUGUACAUGUAUAAGAAAGUUGAUAGAUAAAAGAUGCAAAUAUAGGAGCAAAAGAUGUAGAGGUAAGAGGAGAACCUUGUUAAAUCACUCACAACUCAGAAGAGUAAUUUUGUGUUCCCAGUAGAUGUUCGAAAAGAGGUAGAGGUAGUAGAGUUCGAGAUUCCCCCCUCCCCCGAGCACCCCAUUUUUUUUCACCCAGAUUUUACGGAUUGUAUUCUAUGUUCUUGAGGUGAAUUAAGCUGGAAAAACCCCGAAAAAUUUAUUGAUUUUAUUUUAGUCAUUGGAAACAAUGAGAUUGAAAAGUAAA
rnacentral:misc_RNA from 1 species